rnacentral:rRNA from 1 species
UACGAAGGGGGCUAGCGUUGCUCGGAAUUACUGGGCGUAAAGGGAGCGUAGGCGGACAUUUAAGUCAGGGGUGAAAUCCCGGGGCUCAACCACAGAAUUGCCUUUGAUACUGUUUGGCUAGAGACCGGAAGAGGUAAGUGGAACUGCGAGUGUAGAGGUGAAAUUCGUAGAUAUUCGCAAGAACACCAGUGGCGAAGGCGGCUUACUGGUCCGGUUCUGACGCUGAGGCGCGAAAGCGUGGGGAGCAAACAGG